AUGUGUGCUCUUCCCAGUCCCUGUCUAGACGCUACUGCACCCCAGCUAGGAUGGCGUUCCAUCUCUGUCUGCUUGAGCAGAACACCCCUUUCUAUUUCAGCUCUGCCAGCCCUGGCCCUGCACUGCUCAUGUCACAACCUGUGGGCACCUCCUCUGUACCAAGGGUGGAAUAGAGGCAGGAGGAAGAAGGCUGCUCCACAGGCACCCCACCACAGCCCUGUCCCACUGGAAGCAGCCUCCUACCCCCAGCACCUGACUUCCAAGCACAGGGAGCUGGUGCCAAGCACUGAGGAGGCUGGGUGGCCCUGAAGUGAUGACUUCUGGGGUGGGAAGUCUAUAAAGAAGGGGGCAUUUCUGUCUCAGGGAUCCUGUGGUUGCUCCCCUACUGGCAACAGCAGAAAUGGCACAGGAGGGGGCUCUGUGGCAUUCACCGUAUCUUCUCUCAGAGUCCAGAUGGGC
rnacentral:lncRNA from 1 species